rnacentral:rRNA from 1 species
UACAGAGGUCUCGAGCGUUAGGCGGAAUCACUGGGCUUAAAGCGUGUGUAGGCGGACGGGUAAGUACCUUGUGAAAUCCCACGGCUCAACCGUGGAACUGCUGGGUAUACUGCCUGUCUUGUGCAACCUAGGGGCGAGCGGAACAGAUGGUGGAGCGGUGAAAUGCGUAGAUAUCGUAAGGAAGACCAGUGGCGAAGGCGGGUCUCUGGACAGUUCCUGACACUGAGACACGAAGGCCAGGGGAGCAAACGGG